GCCAUUACUCCGAGCUUAUUUCAGCUAAGUCCUGGUGCAGGAUACGGUGGAUAAGCCAGUGGCCUUGAGCCACAAGGGCAUAGUUGGAAAUGAUUAUGCCUCCCGUGUUUGGAAAGGUGUGACGUGGC
rnacentral:ncRNA from 1 species